UGAAUUUAUCUUUGCAAGAUAUUAAAAAUCUCAAUUGCAAAUGGACGUAAUAAAUCUCGACACGUGAUAAACGUGGAAAAAUAUUACAUCAACUUAAGAUCUGAAGUACAUCUCAGUACUCAAUAGAUAUACACUACUAUUGUAAUGAAUAGUAAUUGUGUUGCAAACUUGAUGUUCAAGUAAAAAACUUGAAUUGUAUAGACCUUAAAUAAAAUGAGAUGAUUUUGUAUCAAGUUGCAAGAUAAUUCAGCGAGGUGAAUUAAUAUUUUGCGAGGAAAAUUGAUCUCAAUCGCAAUGAGAUUGUUUUGCGAGAGAAGAAAUUCUCAAUCGCAAAUCAGUAUUGUAUUUAACAGGUCUAAAACAGGGUGAAAUCAUGCUAGAACAACUACAAAAUCACAAUUAAAACAAGUUUUGGCCUAUUCAAAAAUAGGUAAAGCCGCAAGGGCUAGAGUGCAAAACUUGCGAAGAAAUAAAAUUCUUUAUCUCUUUCUCACGAGCAGUUUGUGAUUGGGAUUUCUCCCGUACAGGGGCUGCAAGUGCGCACCACCAGGCACCGGCUUGGCUCACCGGCCUGGGAUGCGCCAGGGACGCCGGGAUGGACGUACGCCUACGGGAGCAGGGCGAGGGACACAUCCGUCGCCGCCGCCAUGGGCGGGCAUAGCGAGCCGUGCCACAGACAGGCUCUCAGGAGGGCGUCGUCGUGCACGUGGGGGCCGAGCGGCGGGCGCGGAUGAGCGGCCACGGGCGCUACGCGGCCGGGCGAGGCCGGGCGGCCACGAGCGCUGCGGGUGCGAGGCGACC
rnacentral:lncRNA from 1 species